GGGGGUAUAGCUUAGUUGGUAGAGUGCUUGUCUAGUAGCAUCUUGAGGGCCUGGGUUAGAUUCCCCAGCACCACAU
rnacentral:tRNA from 1 species